rnacentral:misc_RNA from 1 species
AGCAGCCGCGGUAAUUCCAGCUCCAAUAGCGUAUAUUAAAAGUUGUUGCAGUUAAAAAGCUCGUAGUUGAAUUUUCGGGGAUCAAUAUGUCGGUCGUGCCUUGGUACGUACUGGUAUCAUUGGUCUCUCCUUUCUGACGAACCAUGAUGUCAUUAAUUUGGUGUUAUGGGAAGUCAGGACUGUUACUUUGAAAAAAAUUAGAGUGUUUAAAGCAGGCUUUAGCUUGAAUACAUUAGCACGGAAUAAUGAAAUAGGACGUUCGAACCUAUUUUUGUUGGUUUCUAGGAUCAACGUAAUGAUUAAUAGGGGAUAGUUGGGGGGCAUUAGUAUUCAAUUGUCAGAGGUGAAAUUCUUGGAUUUAUUGAAGACUAACUACUGCGAAAGCAUUUUGCCAAGGAUGUUUUCAUUAAUCAAGAACGAAAGUUAGGGGAUCGAAGACGAUCAGAUACCGUCGUAGUCUUAACCAUAAACUAUGCCGACUAGGGAUCGGAUGAUGUUAAUUUUUUAAUGACUCAUUCGG